rnacentral:rRNA from 1 species
AUAGGUUAAGUUAAUAAGGGCGCAUGGUGGAUGCCUUGGCACUAGAAGGCGAUGAAGGACGUGACUAACUACGAUAUGCCUCGGUUAGCUGUAAGUAAGCUUACCCGGGGGUUUCCGAAUGGGGCAACCCGAUCUUAAUGAUCAUCAUCUUUUUGAAUUCAUAGAUUAGAUGAAGCAAACGCUGUGAACUGAAACAUCUAAGUAGCAGUAGGAAAGUAAAGAAAUUUCGAUUCCGUCAGUAGCGGCGAGCGAACGCGGAAGAGCCCAAACCUGGAUGCUUGCAUCCAGGGGUUGUAGGACUGAUGUUGAGUUACAAAGGUAUAAGAUAGCAGAAACAGUUGGGAAGCUGUUCCAAAGAGGGUGACAGGCCCGUAUGCGAAAUCUUGUACUCUCUAAUCAGGAUCCUGAGUACGGCCCAGCACGUGAAAUUGGGUCGGAAUCUGGGAGGAC